UACGGAGGGUGCAAGCGUUAUCCGGAUUCACUGGGUUUAAAGGGUGCGUAGGUGGGCAGGUAAGUCAGUGGUGAAAUCUCCGGGCUUAACCCGGAAACUGCCAUUGAUACUACCUGUCUUGAAUACCGUGGAGGUGAGCGGAAUAUGUCAUGUAGCGGUGAAAUGCUUAGAUAUGACAUAGAACACCAAUUGCGAAGGCAGCUCACUACACGAAUAUUGACACUGAGGCACGAAAGCGUGGGGAUCAAACAGG
rnacentral:rRNA from 1 species